GACUGAAUUAGUGAUCGGUCCGGCAGGUUAAAAAACAGGAGAAAAUUAUGUCACUAACUAAAGAAGAAACCGCAGGCAUUGUUGCUGAAUAUGG
rnacentral:ncRNA from 1 species